rnacentral:rRNA from 1 species
GAUGAACGCUGGCGGCGUGCUUAACACAUGCAAGUCGAACGGUGAAGGCGGAGCUUGCUCUGCUGGAUCAGUGGCGAACGGGUGAGUAACACGUGAGCAAUCUGCCCCUGACUCUGGGAUAAGCGCUGGAAACGGCGUCUAAUACUGGAUACGAGCUGCGAAGGCAUCUUCAGCAGCUGGCAAGAAGGUCGGUCAGGGAUGAGCUCGCGGCCUAUCAGCUUGUUGGUGAGGUAAUGGCUCACCAAGGCCUCGACGGGUAGCCGGCCUGAGAGGGUGACCGGACACACUGGGACUGAGACACGGCACAGACUACUACGGGAGGCAACAGUGGGGAAUAGUGCACAAUGGGAGAAAGCCUGAUGCGGCAACGCCGCGUGGGGGACGACGGGAUUCGGGUUGUAAAGCUAAUUUAGCAGGGAAGGAGCGAAAGUGACGGUACCUGCAGAAAAAGCGCCGGCUAACUACGUG